rnacentral:rRNA from 1 species
UGAGUACGAGAGGCUACGGCCUCGAAGCAGUCUAUGUCAUACUUCCAAGAAAAGCUUGCAAUGUCAUGAACACAAUGUCAUAAACAAAUAAUGCCUGUACCAUAACCGACACAGGUGGGUAGGUAGAGUAUACUAAGGGGCGCGAGAUAACUCUCUCUAAGGAACUCGGCAAAAUGACUCCGUAACUUCGGGAGAAGGAGUGCCUUAUUUAUAAGGUUGCAAUAACAAGAUCCAAGCAACUGUUUACCAAAAACACAGGUCUCCGCUAAGUCGUAAGACGAUGUAUGGGGGCUGACGCCUGCCCAGUGCCAGAAGGUUAAAGAAGUUGGUUAGCAUUCGCGAAGCUGAUAACUGAAGCCCUGGUGAACGGCGGCCGUAACAAUAACGGUCCUAAGGUAGCGAAAUUCCUUGUCGGGUAAGUUCCGACCCGCACGAAAGGCGUAAUGAUUUGGAUACUGUCUCGGAGAGAGGCUCGGUGAAAUAGACUUGUCUGUGAAGAUGCGGACUACCUGCACCUGGACAGAAAGACCCUAUGAAGCUUUACUGUAACUUGAAAUUGAAAUUGGACUUUAUUUGCGCAGUAUUGGUGGGAGGCGUUGAUAGUAUUCUUGCGGGAAUAUUGGAGCCAUCAGUGAGAUACCACUCUUGUAAUGUUAGAUUUCUAACUUUGUAUCAUUAUCUGGUCAAAGGACAGUUUCAGGCGGGCAGUUUGACUGGGGCGGUCGCCUCCCAAACGGUAACGGAGGCGUACAAAGGUUUCCUCUGAACGGGUAGAAAUCGUAUCUAGAGUGUAAAGGCAUAAGGAAGCUUGACUGUGAGACCUACAAGUCGAGCAGGGACGAAAGUCGGUCUUAGUGAUCUGACGGUGCUGAGUGGAAAGGCCGUCACUCAACGGAUAAAAGUUACUCUAGGAUAACAGGCUGAUCUCCCCCAAGAGUUCACAUCGACGGGGAGGUUUGGCACCUCGAUGUCGGCUCAUCGCAUCCUGGGGCGGUAGUACGUCCCAAGGGUUGGGCUGUUCGCCCAUGAAAGCGGUACGCGAGCUGGGUUCAGAACGUCGUGAGACAGUUCGGUCCAUAUCCGGUGUAGGCGUUAGAAUAUUGAGAGGAGCCUUCUUUAGUACGAGAGGACCGAGAAGGACAUACCUCUGGUGUACCAGUUAUCGUGCCAACGGUAAACGCUGGUAGCUAUGUAUGGAGAGGAUAACCGCUGAAAGCAUCUAAGUGGGAAGCCCACCUCAAGAUAAGUAUUCU